GUGCUCACUUUGGCAGUACAUAUAUUAAAAUUGGAACAAUCCAGAAUAGAUAGAUUAGCAUUAGCACUGUACAAGGAUGAUAUACAAAUUCUUCAAGCAUUCCAUAUUUAG